rnacentral:rRNA from 1 species
GAUGAACGCUGGCGGCGUGCCUAAUACAUGCAAGUAGAACGCUGAAGGAGGAGCUUGCUCUUCUGGAUGAGUUGCGAACGGGUGAGUAACGCGUAGGUAACCUGCCUGGUAGCGGGGGAUAACUAUUGGAAACGAUAGCUAAUACCGCAUGACAACAGUUAUUGCAUGAUAACUGUUUAAAAGGGGCAACUGCUCCACUACCAGAUGGACCUGCGUUGUAUUAGCUAGUUGGUGAGGUAACGGCUCACCAAGGCGACGAUACAUAGCCGACCUGAGAGGGUGAUCGGCCACACUGGGACUGGGACACGGCCCAGACUCCUACGGGAGGCAGCAGUAGGGAAUCUUCGGCAAUGGACGGAAGUCUGACCGAGAAACGCCGCGUGAGUGAAGAAGGUUUUCGGAUCGUAAAGCUCUGUUGUAAGAGAAGAACGAGUGUGAGAGUGGAAAGUUCACACUGUGACGGUAUCUGACCAGAAAGGGACGGCUAACUACGUG